AUCAGUGCUGCAUGAGAGCUGCAAGCAGUGAGCAGAGAGCAGAGGCAGCGAGCUGAUCUUGCUGCUGCAGAACGGCGGCUGGAUCAGCUUGCAGGCGA